rnacentral:rRNA from 1 species
GGUUAACGCUGGCGGUAUGUCUAAUACAUGCAAGUCGAGCGCUCGCUUCGGCGAGAGCGGCGAACGGGUGAGUAACACAUUGGAACCUUCCUCGGACUCAGGAAUAGCCCGCUAACGGCGGAUUAAUACCGGAUAGUCCCGCAAGGGUAAAGCUUUUGCGGUCCGAGAGGGGCCUGUGGCCUAUCAGCUUGUUGGUGAGGUAAUAGCUUACCAAGGCUAUGACGGGUAGCUGGUCUGAGAGGACGACCAGUCACAAUGGGACUGAGACACGGCCCAUACUCCUACGGGAGGCAGCAGUAAAGAAUCUUCCACAAUGGACGAAAGUCUGAUGGAGCAAUACCGCGUGAACGAUGAAUGUCGAAAGAUUGUAAAGUUCUUUUCUGGGGGAAGAAUUAUGACGGUACCCUAGGAAUAAGCACCGGCUAACUCCGUG